AGUGAACGCUGGCGGUAGGCCUAACACAUACAAGUCGAACGGCAGCACAGUAAGAGCUUGCUCUUACGGGUGGCGAGUGGCGGACGGGUGAGGAAUACAUCGGAAUCUACUUUUUCGUGGGGGAUAACGUAGGGAAACUUACGCUAAUACCGCAUACGACCUACGGGUGAAAGCAGGGGAUCUUCGGACCUUGCGCGAUUGAAUGAGCCGAUGUCGGAUUAGCUAGUUGGCGGGGUAAAGGCCCACCAAGGCGACGAUCCGUAGCUGGUCUGAGGGGAUGAUCAGCCACACUGGAACUGAGACACGGUCCAGACUCCUACGGGAGGCAGCAGUGGGGAAUAUUGGACAAUGGGCGCAAGCCUGAUCCAGCCAUACCGCGUGGGUGAAGAAGGCCUUCGGGUUGUAAAGCCCUUUUGUUGGGGAAGAAAAGCAGCAGGUUAAUACCCCGCUGUUCUGACGGUACCCAAAGAAUAAGCACCGGCUAACUUCGUG
rnacentral:rRNA from 1 species